rnacentral:sRNA from 1 species
ACUCAACACUAACUAUUAAAGUGAGUAAAUCUGCAUUACUAAAGCAUGUUCCCUUGCGGAAAUCCUUGAACAAUGCGCUAGCUCAAAUCCUGUUUUUACGAGUUU